ensembl:lncRNA
CUCACCAGCCCCUUCAGGAAUUCCAUAGUCUUUCCUCUCCUUCCAGAUAUAUGGGGUAGGUGGGCAUCCCCUUCCCUUGUGAUCCUCCCUGGCCUGUGCCUUGCAUUGGCCUAUGCAGUGGAAGUGGAAGUAACACCUCACUUCUGAGUGGAAGCUUUAAGAGUCCUCCCAGGCCUUGUCAUUUUUCCCUUCCUUUUUGCCAUUUUGACCAGUAAUGUGGUAGCUACUUUAUCACCCUAAGGCCCAAAGGAUGAAGAAGAUGAGUUAGAUCCCCUAACCAACCUCUGAGGACCUGCAGCGUAAGCAAGAAGAAAAACCUUUGUGGUUUUAAGCCACUGAAAUUUUGAAGUCGUGACCACAGUGUAACUAGCCUGUCCCGCGUGACGGACUUAGAGAACAACAGGAAAGCGGGCCAUCUUCCUGGAGAGGAGAUCUCCCCUCAGCAGAGCUAUGGCAGCAGCUUUCACCUCUGCAUUCCUCAGGCUGUAGAUGAUGGGGUUCAGCGAGGGGGUCACGACCCCAUAGAACAAUGCAAGAAGCUUGUCCAAGUAGAGGUCCUCGGCCUUGGGCUUGAAGUACAUGAAGGAGAUGGUCCCAUAGAAAAUCACCACCACUGUGAGGUGGGCAGAGCAGGUAGAGAAGGCUUUGUGCCGGCCGGCAGCAGAGGGCACCCUCAGGAUGGCAGUGAGGAUGAACACAUAGGACAGGAAGAUGAGCAGCAGUGGGGCCAGAGUCAGGACAGCUGCAGACACCACUGUUAGCAGCGUGUUGAGAGAGAUGUCCCCACAGGCUAGUUUCAGCACUGCUAAGAUCUCACAGAAGAAGUGGUUGAUGAUAUUGUGGCCACAGAAGGGGAGGCUCCAGGUGAGAUUGGAAUGGAGAAGGGAGUUGGCAAAGCCUGCUCCCCAGCUCAGCGCAGCCAUCCACAUGCUCGUGUGCCAGCUCAUGAGCUCUGAGUAGCGAAGCGGCUGGCAGAUGGCCACGUAUCGGUCACACGCCAUCAUGGCCAAGAGCACGCACUCCGUGGAGCCCAGCGCCAGGGUCAGGUACAUCUGCAGGGCACAGCCAGGGAAGGAGAUGGUGCUUUGAGUUUCCAGGAAGUUGACCAGCAUGAGAGGCACGAAGGAGGAUGUGCCACAGAUGUCCAUGAGGGCGAGGUUGCUGAGGAAGAAGUACAUGGGGGUGUGCAGGCGGGGGUCCAGCACGUUCAGCCCGAUGAGGAGGGCGUUCCCCAGCACAUUCACAGAGUAGAUGCCCAGGCAGAGCACAAACAGCACCAUCUCUAGGUUGUGGUGGUCGUGUAGCCCCAGCAGGACAAACUCUGUCACGAUCGUCUGGUUUGCCCCAUUCAUCUCACUCUCCAUCCAUCUCAUUCUCCCUCUUUUCCCAUCUGCACCACGAAGAUGUUGGAUUAAGCACCAGUGGGCCUGGGAGCCAAGCAACGUGGAUGUGUUACCUGGGGUGAGUCAGCCCUGCCUCU